CCUUGAAUAUAAAAGAAUGAGCAAAAGAUCAAUGUCAACUGCCGAGGAAUGUGAGUAAAGAUUUCAUCAGAGUAAGUAAUACAAAUGAAUUGUAAAAGAACAAGACUUAAGCGUGCACCCCGUGUUUUGUUUUAUUGUACGUAUAAACAUAACAUGUUCAUUUUUAACAAAGUGGUCAAUAACUCUUUUUUUUGGGUACAAAGACGUGCCUAGCAUAGACUAGGGCAAAACAAAACGGGGGUGUGAAACCCCAAUACAAUCAUGACGAACCCAAAACCCAGCCCCUAAAGGAAGAGAAUUGAAAAGGUGCAAUUCAACAGGUAGUGAAAGAGCAGAGUUUGCAGGAAAGUCAGCUGCAAAAUUUGAUUCUCUGUAAACAUGCUUGACCUGCACUUGCCAGGUUCUGUUAAGCAAUUCCUUAAUACCCCUGACAAGAGAAGCAUGUGCAUUUGGCCUAAUCUCGUCAUCCGCCACCAAACGAGUAACACAAAGGCUGUCAACCUCCACCUGAAGCUGCCGAAUUCCAUUAUCCCAAGCCAGACAUAACCCUUGAUAAAGGCCCCAUAACUCAGCACCAAUGAUGGUAACCACACCAAUAUUCAUUCCAAAACCAAUUAUUCACUCUCCAUAACAGUUUCUAAUCAAGCCACCCGUACUAGACAGACCAGAACUUUUACGAGCUCCAUCUGUGUUGAGUUUAAAACAAGGCCAAGUAGGUGCCACCCAUCCAAAAUAUUUCUAAAUCUUCAUGGCAGCAGGAACCAAACAACUCUGAUUAACCUUUUGAAUUUCUUCUGUACGGAUCUUAAUAUCCAUUACAACAGUACUCUUGCUGGUAAAAACACCAUUAUGCAGAUUUUGGUAACGCCAAAACCAAAGCCUCCAAACUGUGACCCCAAAAAGACACGGCCAGUCAAACAUACCAUCAUACUUCCACAAGUUCCUCAAAUUAUAUAACGCCCAAUCUCGGAGAUUCAAACUAAAAAAUUGAUGACUAAUCCCAUGGGGUAUCAAUGACGACCAUACAUGCUUAGCACUGGGGCAAUCCCGCAGCACAUGAAGAGUAUUUUCAACAACACAGCCACACCUUGCACAACUCAUAUCAUCAACAAUAUGUCUCCGGAAAAGUUCUGCUUUAGUUUUAAGUCUAUUUUGACCCACCACCCACAGAAAGGUUUUGAUAUGUUGGGGACCUCUCCACUGCCAAAGAAUGCGCCAAAAGGAUUCUUCAUUGUGAACCUCCAUUUUUGACAAAGCCCUAUAUGCUGAAUUAGUAGUGAAAUCUCCUGACUUAGAAUAUGCCCAGUACAUGUAAUCAUCCUCAUCAUUUACACUGGGAGGCUUGGUGGCUGCAAUUUUGAGAAGUAAAUGAUGGGGAAAUAAAUUCUCAAAAAGCCGCCAAUUCCAAGUACCCUCAACAGUGAUAAACCUCGCCACACACUCCUCAAGCUGCUGUAAAGGUAUCGGCUGCAAAGCGAAAGUAUACAAAGGGUAUUCCUCUGUUACCCAAUUAUCCCACCAAAAUCUAACUCGGUUGCCAUUUCCAAUGUCCCAUUUGAUCCCUUUUAAAACCUCAUGCCAAAUGCCUCCCACAGCCUUCCACAUGUAAGAGCCAUAUUUCGUAGGUAAUGUGCCGGGGAGGGCUUUAGGAGCCAGCCCAUACUUAGACAAGAGAACCUUCACCCAUAAACUAUUUGGAGAAGCAAUUAAAACCCACCCAAUCUUCAUGAGCAGAGCAUCAUUCAUUAAAUUAAGCUGCUUAAGACCAAGGCCUCCGCUAGGUUUCAGUUGACAUAUUGUAUCCCAUUUCACCAAACUGAUUUUCUUCUUGUCUGCUGCCCCGCUCCAAAUAAACCUCCUACAAGCCUGAUCAAUUUUCUCCCGAAUACCAAACGGAAUCCUCGUGGUCUGCAUUGCAUAAAUAGGAAUUGCCUGGAUUACCGAUUGAGUGAGAGUGAUCCUACCCGCCAAGGACAAAUGUAUCGCAUUCCACCCCGACAAACGUUGGUUCACUUUGUCCAAAAUUCCCUGAUAAGUCAGCUUAUUAACCCGUGAAUGAAUAAUUGGCAUUCCUCAAUAUUUCCCUAGGUUUUUUGUGACAGAAAAACCCAAGGAAUCACCAAUUUCCUUAGCCUCAGCAGACUUUAUGUUGUGGGAGAAAAAAUCUUGUGUCUUUGUUUUACUAACUUUCUCUCUAGAGCUCAUACAAAAAACAUUCAACACUUCAUUAUAACCAUUGCUUGCCUACAGGAAGCCUCUGCAAGCAAGAUAAGAUCGUCAGCAAAAAAUAAGUGAGAUAAAGAGGUACCUCCACGAGACAGUUUAAUAGGUUUCCAGUGCCCUCUCUUCACAGCGUCAUUUAUUCCAUGGCUUAACCUUUCUAUACAUAACACAAAGAUAUAUGGGGAAAUGGGGUCUCCCUGUCUAAUACCCCUAGAAGGGGUAAAACUCUCUGUAAUUUCUCCAUUCCAUAGAAGUUGCAUAGUCGCCGUUGUAAUACAUUCCAUAAUAAGCCGAACCAAAAUAGUAGGCAAUCCAAACUCCCUCAAGGUUUCAUAAAUAAAAUCCCAGCUUAAACGAUCAUACGCCUUUUCCAAAUCCACCUUAAUGGCCAUCUGCCCAAUCCUCCCUUUCUUACGUCUCAUCAAAUGAAUAACUUCCUGAGCAACCACUAUGUUUUCCGUUAUGUGUCUCCCCGGGAUAAAACUAGUCUGGGUAGGUCCAAUGAGGUCAGGCAAGAUAGAUUUCAGCCGGUUAGCUAAUAACUUAGUGAUAGUUUUAUAGAUAACCGGGCAAAGACUAAUCGGACGAAAAAGCUUAAGGCUAAUAGGAUUAUCCGACUUAGGAACCAACACAAUCAGAGUUUUGUUCAACUCCUUAGGGAUCUCGUUGCCAUUAAAAAUACCUUUUAUAAGACUUCAGACAGAUUUUCCCACUACAUGCCACUGGGUCUGGUAAAAGAGAGCAUGCAACCCGCCUAUUCCAGGGGCUUUCAAAGCCUUCAUGCUGAAGAUCACAUUCUUAAUUUCCUCAUCCUCCACUGCUUGUCCCAAAGCUUGCAUUCGACUUUCCUCAAGGACUGGGAAGGCGUUAACAACAUGGUAUGGAUGAUAGAUUGCAUCCUCUUUGGAAUAGAGCUUUGAAAAGAAGGACACAGCAUAAUCUCUAAUCUCAUCAUUAUUCAACAACCAAUAACUCUAUUCGUUAUGAAAUUGAUAUUGUACCCAAUUUUAAGAGAGCAUAAUAAUAACCAUUCAAUGCAUAAAUUUAGAAUUAGGUUUUUUUUUGUAAUUCUUUAUUUAAAUAUAAGCUUCAAUGGAAAAUUAUAAAAAUUUAGAUAUAAAAUUUUAAAUCACCAGACCAAAAAAAAAAAAAAAAAAAUAGGGGAACGGAAAUAGAGGAAUCUUGCUUUACCUUUUUUCCCUUUAACUCUUGUUCUUAUAUAAAUAAUUUUGUUUUGAUGAUUGUAACUCGUGACUGCGGGAAAAUUUCUAAUGGAAACAACUCAAAUUCGGAAGAUAAGCUUAAUUAUGCAAGUGAUGAAUUUGUUCAAUUGACUCUGUACUUGAACUAGUUGGAUUGAUUGAUUGAUGAUUGACUAAAUUUGAAUUAAGUUUAAUAGCUUAGCUAUCAUUUACUCCUUAAAAGCAAACGUAAAUAUUUUCUUGUGGUUGAGCCCUAUUCUCAAAUCAGUAGGUUGCCUUUGAAAAAGGGCUUUUCUCACUGAUCUUUUUUUUUUUUCUUUAAUUCACACGCACUUGAUUAUUGACUUCUUUCAUGAAGAAAUAAACUUGUAAUGACUUAAAGAUUUAAUUUCAAGUUAGAAUCAAUACCAAAAGACGGAGGUUUAACAAAGCCGUUUAGUGUGAUAAAAGUACUUUAAAAAAUGUUGUUCGACCCAAUUAAGUUGAAGAAAUAAUAAAGUUUUCAUGGAAUAAAUACCGGUUGUGCCUUAAUGAUUUUGGCAUAGACGUUGCUUGUGUACUGUGAAAUUGAAAUGAAUAUUAAGUGACAGCGCGAUGUAUAUGCCUAAUAAAAGAUCAGCAAAAGCUUGGAUGAAUGAUUGAGGACCAAAACUUUUAUAAAAGCAUUUUUGAGAGAAACUAAACACCAAAUUAUCAAAGUAAGAUCAACAGUAUAUGAUUUGAUUUAUACAUAUUCAAAAACAAAAUAAUGAUUAAUAAUAAAGUUUGAUUUUGUAUUGCCAACGAUGCUUUUUUGUUGUUUCAUUUGUUCGACGUGGCCUUAUUUACAAAUUGGUUUAUGUUAACAGAAACAUGAAAUUCACAUUACACAAAAUUGCAAGAACAAAUAUUAAGAGAACGUAAUAAUAAUUACUCAAUGCGUAAGGAUAAAUUUAGAAUUACAUAUUCUUUUUUAUUUAAUAAAGUCCCAACGGGAAAUCAUAAAAAUUUAUAUAUAAAAGCUUUCAACCACCAAACAAAAAACAGGGGGAAUGAAAACACAGGAACUUGUUUUAACUUUUUUUCAUCUAACUCUUGUUCUUAUAUAAUAUUUUCCCUAGUAUUUCAGGCAAAAAAAAAAAAAAAAAUCAAUAAAGAGCAAGUUGCUCAAAUUGAUUUAUCUUGUUUUUCAGGCAAUCUUGUGAUAUGAUGAUAAAGCUCAUGAAUGCUAGAAAACUUCUAAUGCAAACAACUCUAUUUGGGAUGAUAAGCUUAAUUUUACAAGUGAUAAAUAUAAAUAACUUUUUGUGGUUAAUUGAAUUUGUAAUUACUCUUAGCCCUAUUCUAAAAUUUGUAGGCUGCCUCAGAAAAGAAUAAAAAAAAAUUUCUUACUCAUCUUUAAUCUUCAAGUAAAAAACAAAUCUAAUAAAAUGAAAAACAAACAAACAAGUAAAAGACAGCAAACAAACAACAUUUAACCAACUGAUAUUUAAACAGGGAAUUCUUUCUUCUUCUUCCCCCCCCCCCCCCCCCGGCUCAUGGAUUAGAGAUUUUGCUAUUAACUGAAAGGUUUCAAGGGUCUGAAUAAAAUCCCAGACUUUUUUUUUUUAAUUAACCAAAGCCAUAUAAUAAGAUCACAGACUUUUAACAAUGAACAAUAAUUUGAAACUCAAGCAAAACCAAUGACAAGAUUAAAACAAACCAGAGAAAUUUUUUCUUGGAAAGUAGAUGAAAACUAAGUAAGAACUGCUAUUAAAGGAUAUUAUUAAAGGAUUUAGAACAUGUAUACCUCUUUAUUUAUAUGGGAUCAGAGAGUCGAUGACCUCCUCUAUUCGCUUCAGAUAUUAAGUAAGAACUGCUAUCAAAAGAAUGAAUUGAUGAGAGUAAUAACAAUGAAUUGCAAAAGAGGAAGACUUAAUCACGUACCCCUAUUAUACCCGAUUUUUAAGAUUUAAUUUUGAAGUCCAGAAUCAAGACAAAAGAUGAAGCCUUAACAAAUAUGCAGUGAGAAUAAUUAAGUUGAAGAAAGCACUAGUUUAUGGCUCAGUGUUAAGUUGAAGUUUAUGAAAUAAUUAACUAGUUUAUUAUGCUCAAGUCAGUUUUUGGGCCUUUGCCAAAAAACUUGUGCCACCACUCAUAUGGCUUAAUAAACAUUGUCUUAAAAACCAAAAGCUUUUUGAGUAAUUUGCAGAAAAAUGAAAUAGAGUGUAAAAGAAAGGAUUUUCCAUGAGAAGAAGAGAGAAAAAGAUGCCUUGCAGACCCCGAAAAAAUAAAU
rnacentral:lncRNA from 1 species